UCUUCCUGGACCAGGGAUUGAACCCACGUCCCCUUCAUUGGUAGGUGGAUUCUUAAUCACCGGACCCUAGGAACUUCUUGGUAUUACUGCGAUUUUUUUUUUUUCUGUUAACUUGGUAGUGGUAUUAUGAUGAUUAUUCAAAUAAUGGAUGGAUAGAGUUAUUUUUUGUCUUUAUUAUUAGUCAUGCCUCCUCUACUCAGUUUAUAUGCUGCCAUCUUUCUGCACCACAUGCUGUCCUAGACUUCCAGAACACCAAAUCUUUUCCAGCCCACACAUGCCAGACACCUGCUUAUCUGGAGCCAAGGAUUAGACACAUAUCAAUUAGGACCUGUAUUGUCAAGCUGGAGGGUAACAAACGGUGUCUCCCUAUGUAGUGGUUCACGUGUUCAGGAGCCCUCUAACUCUCCUCCAUUUGGUGAGUGUUAAAUAUCCUGAGGACUGAGCCAGCACAGUGCUGGCUAAAAGACCAAUAAAUAAGGCUAUGGACGUGGGAAAAUGGCAAAACCUUCCCGGGAAAAGCUUCCUGGCCCAAGGUACCAUUAGUAAUGCCGCUAUUUGCAAUCAUAAUAAAAAUAAAACUAAUAGGAAAAUCACGUUGAGACAAUUCCACUGCCUACUGGAUUUUUAAUUUUCUUGAAGAUGCCAGAGGCAAUCUUGAGCCCAUUAUGUCUAAAUGAGGCAUGUUAUAAAAGGCUUGCAAAGUCCAAACUGCUUUUACAGCCAUUAAUUAGCCAGACUUCCAAAUAGGCCCAUAAGAUUAAGCUUGAGUAUGGUCUCUGGUCUCUACAAUGGGGUCACAGUAUGCAGAGAAGUCAGCUAUCAUUGGUUCAGUGUAUACUCUUCUGCCCUUCUCUCUCAUUUAAGCUCGGUUAAGAUCCUUGGGGGUGUAAAAAUAGGGGCGGGGCCGGAAAGGGGCGGGGCCAGUAGGGGCGGGGCCAACACGCAGCCUUUAGCUAGCGACCAUUCUGGCAACCAAAACCAAAACCGUUAGCUCGACCCUUAGUGUGAAGCCCUCAGCUCUCGACUGUUAACCGCUAGUUACCCUUGGAGAAAGAAAUGGCAACCCACUCCAGUAUUCUUGCCUGGAAAUUCCAUGGACGGAGGAACCUGGUAGGCUACAGUCCAUGGGGUCGCAAAGAGUCGGACACGACUGAGCGACUUCACUUUCUUUUCAGAUCCUCGCAGGUGUAAAAAUAGGGGCGGGGCCAGUAGGGGCGGGGCCAGCAUACAGCCGUUAGCUGGCGACGGUUACGGCAACCUAAACCGUCAGCUGGACCUUUAGCGUGAAGCCCUCAACGCUCUACUGUUAGCCGUUAGUUACUCUUAGUGGCCAAGCUCCCAACCUGGCAGUGAUCCUCACGGCACAGAGCGUGGUGAGAGGUGGAUUGGGGCCGUCUCCCCCAGGACUUCCGGCCUCGGACAGCAGGGUGUCUUCUCUGAACCUCCUCCUCGCCACCUCCAAGACUGAGCAAGGUCAUCACACUCUCUUGUCUCAUCUCCACUUCUUUGAGAACUUUUGUGAAGCUCAAGAUACUGAAUGUGACAUCUGUGUUUGACUUAGUCCUGCAGAUAUAUAACACCCAGAAAGCUCCAACAAAGGGUGAAGACUGGGGGAUGACCACAGCUCAUGAUGAUAAGAAGAUCACUUAAUUUGCUCACUGAAGGGGUGGACCUGGGCUGUCAAUAGGGAGACCCAAAAUCACCCACGUGUCCUUGAGCAUCAUCUCAGGGGAAGAAGAUCUGCAUGUGUCCUGUGUUUGAAGAUUAAAAACUCCUUGGCUCCCAGCUCCCACAGUAAUCCAGUCACCACUGAAUAGAAUGACAUCAAGAUUUUUGAGGCUCAUGGAUGAAAGCAGAGGCCACCCUCAUCACAUCUGUGUGAUCCAACUUGUGCCUAUGGCUGAUGGUCAAACACUGUCUUCUUGAAAUUAUAUCUGUUU